UAUGUGAUCGUCUCUCGCAUAUCAAUAAGCGGAGGAAAAGAAACUAACAAGGAUUCCCCUAGUAACGGCGAGUGAAGCGGGAAGAGCUCAAAUUUGAAAUCUUAAAGGGUUUCCCUUUACGAAUUGUAGUUUAAAGAAGUGUUUUCUGUUGAGGUUUUGGUAAAAGUUCUUUGGAAUAGGACAUCAUAGAGGGUGAGAAUCCCGUAUUUGACCUUUACUUUCAACUUUGUGAUACACUUUCAAAGAUGUCGGAUUGUUUGGGAAUGCAGUCCAAAAUGGGUGGUAAAUUUCAUCUAAAGCUAAAUAUUGGCGAGAGACCGAUAGCGAACAAGUACCGUGAGGGAAAGAUGAAAAGAACUUUGAAAAGAGAGUUAAACAGUACGUGAAAUUGUCAAAAGGGAAGCGUUUGACACCAGUGUUGUUUUUCUGAAAAUCAAUUAAAGAACUGUUUAUGCUAAGUUGUUUAGACUUUAUCAGCUAACUGUUUAGUUUUGAGCUUUUCUUUAAUGCACUUUUCAGUUAACAAGUCAACAUCAAUUUCUUUUGCUGUAAAAAAGCUUGAGGAAGGUGGCUUGAGAUUCGUCUUAAGUGUUUAUAGCCUCUUGCCUAUGCAGUCGGAGAGAUUGAGGUCUGCAGCGUAGAUCCUUCGGGGCUAAAUGCAUUUGUGCUAAGUUAUAGCAUUUUAUAGACAACUUGUUGACUAUGAUUUGUCUUGUAGCUUACUCGCUUAUGUUAUUUUACCUACGCUUAGGAUGUUGACACACGCGCGUGCUC
rnacentral:rRNA from 1 species